UCGUCUGGACUUGAUUUCCGCAAAAUGUUCCCGAAUUUCUAACCAGAAUGGACAAUUUUGGGAAAUCCGUCUCUUUUGACCGGUCAUCGGACGUUCCGGAUUGUAUUCCCUGAUUUCCCCACUUCUCGGCAGCCUUGGAAGCCGCGGCUUCAUGAGAGACUCCUUCUUGGGAACCAUGUUCCGGAUCAACGAUGUAAAGUGACAUCCAGCUCCAGAUGGCAACGUCCCGGCCAAGUUUUCGAAGAACCGGUGCAAACAAACGGAAUAUGUUCAACCCGGAAUCAAAGGCGGACGACCGCUGGACUCUACUGGAACCUUCCGUCG